UCUCUCGUAACUUAAUGGUCAUAGCAUUGGUCCAUAAAACGAAUAGUCUCGGGUUCGAUACCCGGCGAGAGUG
rnacentral:tRNA from 1 species